rnacentral:rRNA from 1 species
AACGGCUGGCGGCGUGCCUAACACAUGCAAGUCGAACGGAGUUAUGAUGUGAGCGGGAAGUGCUUGCACUAAACAAUCUUUUCAUAACUUAGUGGCGGACGGGUGAGUAACGCGUGGGCAACCUGCCCUGUACUGGGGGACAACAGUUGGAAACGACUGCUAAUACCGCAUAAGCGCACGGGAUCGCAUGAUCCUGUGUGAAAAACUCCGGUGGUACAGGAUGGACCCGCGUCUGAUUAGCUGGUUGGUGAGGUAACGGCCCACCAAGGCAACGAUCAGUAGCCGGCCUGAGAGGGUGAACGGCCACAUUGGGACUGAGACACGGCCCAAACUCCUACGGGAGGCAGCAGUGGGGAAUAUUGCACAAUGGGGGAAACCCUGAUGCAGCGACGCCGCGUGAGUGAAGAAGUAUUUCGGUAUGUAAAGCUCUAUCAGCAGGGAAGAAAAUGACGGUACCUGACUAAGAAGCCCCGGCUAACUACGUG